rnacentral:lncRNA from 1 species
CCAAACCAUCCCUUAGUGUCAUACUGAAAAACCGAUGUCAAGAGUAAUUGAGAGCACAAAAAGAGAGUGAGUGAAAGCUUGAUUGCAUUAAUGAAAGCUAUUAUAGAAAGGUAACGUGUCCUUGAGUGGGAGAGCACCAGUACACAGAAUUAUUUUCUUGCUUAAAUGUUUGACUUCUUUAUCCCUCUAAUAAUGCUUUAAAAAGAAAAAACAUUGAGUGUUCUUCGGGUUAGAUUCCUUACGCCCAUGAAGAACGUCGUGAGCUUCACCCAAUUCUUCUAUGACCAAAGCUAUUCCUUCAGCACGCUAUUAAAUCUCUCCGUCUGGAAGUCAAAUUGCAGGUGGAAACUUGAAUUGUGGAUCAACUAAUUGGACCUAAGUUACUUGAGGAGUUGGGUAAAAAUUGCUAGCAUAAUGAAAAUUACUAUCACUAUCAAUUUCUCUACUCUCCCUAAAAUGACAAUUUAUCCAAGCAACUACAGAAAAUGUUUAAGAAAUCAAAACAAUGAGGGAGGGGGCAACAAAUCCAUGAAGGGUAUAUACAAGCAAAACGAUUGGUAAGAAAGGGAUUCCACAAUCUGGCGAUUCACGACAGACAAAGAGUAUCAAUGUUCUACAAGGGAUUCUUCCGCUCAAUUUCACGUAGCCAAUAUGAAGAAAUUGACCACGUUGGUAGGUGAGAAGGACACAACGCCUAGCCCAAGCAAAACAAGGGAACCGUCCUACAAAUUAGUUGGAGAUGGAGAAU